rnacentral:rRNA from 1 species
ACGUAGGGGGCGAGCGUUAUCCGGAAUUAUUGGGCGUAAAGCGCGCGCAGGCGGCUGAUUAAGUCAGGUGUGAAAGGCUGCGGCUCAACCGCAGAGCGGCACCUGAAACUGGUCAGCUUGAGUGCAGGAGAGGGGAGCGGAAUUCCCGGUGUAGCGGUGGAAUGCGUAGAGAUCGGGAGGAACACCAGUGGCGAAGGCGGCUCUCUGGCCUGUAACUGACGCUGAGGCGCGAAAGCGUGGGGAGCAAACGGGA